CCUCUGGAUGAUGAAGAGAUGGUGUCUAAUAUCCUUACUGGUCUCGAUGUUGAUUUCAAUUCAAUUGUGUCCGCUAUUAUGGCACGUGUCGAACCCAUGUUAGUCAGUGAACUAUACGCAUAGCUUCUAAGUUUCGAGA